GCUCAAACAUAAAUCACUGUUGAUAGGCAGACAUUUCCAAAAGCUUUGGUUCCAUUCAUAUGUUAACGAUUUCGGUGGUGGAGGAAGUAUUUCUCCAAUCAGUUGUUACUUGUUUGGGCAACUUGAUGCUUUGAUACCUACUGGACCUUCAGGGCAACAGCGAAGAAGGAUAGGUUCAUUCUUUCUCAGUAAACUUUUUUUUGAUGUUACCUACAGACGGCAGUGAGCAGCAGAAAAAAUAAAGGUAUGAAGGCUGAUUCUGAUGUCUCAAUAUUGAC